AUUGAACGCUGGCGGCAUGCCUAACACAUGCAAGUCGAGCGGAUAAAGGGAGCUUGCUCCUGAAUUCAGCGGCGGGCGGGUGAGUAAUGCCUAGGAGUCUCCCUGAGAGUGGGGGAUAGCGUCCAGACACGGGCGCUAAUACCACACACGUUAUGAUUGAGAACGUGGGGGAUCUUCGGACCUCACGCUAUCAGCUGACCCUAGGUCGGAUUAGCUAGUUGGUGGGGUAAAGGCUUACCAAGGCGACGAUCCGUAGCUGGUCUGAGAGGAUGAUCAGCCACACUGGAACUGAGACACGGUCCAGACUCCUACGGGAGGCAGCAGUGGGGAAUCUUGGACAAUGGGCGAAAGCCUGAUCCAGCCAUGCCGCGUGUGUGAAGAAGGUCUUCGGAUUGUAAAGCACUUUUAGUUGGGAGGAAGAGCAGUAUGUUAAUACCUUGCUGUCUUGACGUUACCAAAAGAAUAAGCACCGGCUAACUACGUG
rnacentral:rRNA from 1 species